CUACGGGUGGCUCCAGUGGGGAAUAUUGCACAAUGGAGGAAACUCUGAUGCAGCAACGCCGCGUGGAGGAUGACACUUUUCGGAGCGUAAACUCCUUUUAUAUAGGAAGAAGAUGACGGUACUAUAUGAAUAAGCGCCGGCUAACUCCGUGCCAGCAGCCGCGGUAAUACGGAGGGCGCAAGCGUUACUCGGAAUCACUGGGCGUAAAGAGCGUGUAGGCGGAUUAAAAAGUCAGAAGUGAAAUCCUAUAGCUUAACUAUAGAACUGCUUCUGAAACUCUUAAUCUAGAAGAUGGGAGAGGUAGAUGGAAUUUCUGGUGUAGGGGUAAAAUCCGUAGAGAUCAGAAGGAAUACCGAUUGCGAAGGCGAUCUACUAGAACAUUAUUGACGCUGAGACGCGAAAGCAUGGGGAGCAAACAGGAUUAGAUACCCGUGUAGUC
rnacentral:rRNA from 1 species